rnacentral:sRNA from 1 species
UUUUCAUUCCCGUUGUCAUGGAGGGCCACAUCUGCCAGAGCCUGGAGUCUGCGAAGGCCGGGACCCGGUUCCCCGGCCCGCCGUGGGGAGUGUGCAAACCCGAGAGAACUGGUCGCUGAAACCUCUACAACUUAGUUGACCGUAACUGCCAGAGCCCUGCCCUGAAUUCCUGUCCUUACUCCCUCUUUCAGAUUGCGUACCCACUGCAGAGGGCUGAAGACGGGGUAGCCACGAGGUAAGAGGCUCUCUGGGGCAGGGUUUAACAUGGAACGUAGUUUUGUCAUCUUAAAUGCACGGAAAUUGGCGUUUUGACAGUUUUCUACGUUUAGGUGUUUAUACACUUCAGGGUAACGUAUCAAGUCAUUGCAUAGGGUGGAACUUAAAUAGAAACUGGAGAUGGCUGCUUCAGCCACAGUCCUAACCUAGAACUGCAUUUAAAGCAAACUAAUAUGCAGAAACAAACUCCUUCGUUAAGAAAUGUCUCCAGUAGCAGGGUUAGCUUAAGUUUCAGGUAGGGUUUAGAUCUGCGGUUGGAGCAGUACUGGAGGGCUGUGAGGUGCUUGACUGCUCUGAUGAAAUCACUAAUAGGAAGUGCCGUCAGAAGCGAUAACUGACGAAGACUACUCCUGUCUGAUUGCAGUCAAGUCUUCACCACUUGCUGGUUCCCAGGAGUAAACUUGUGUGAACGAUGACCUAAUUGCUAUAUUCACCUAGGUUGCAAAUUCGUGAAGAAUCAGCAGCAUGUUUGGCAGCUGAGUAUUGGAGCCAGGAGCCUGCCAUGAGGUUUUGAGAACAGGGUGCUGUUUUAGAGCUGGCAGCAGCAUCUCAGCCCAAGAGAAGGUAAGCCUUGAGCUGGCCAAUGAUCCCCCAACCCCAUAGUGGAAUGAAUAAACAGCUGAUCUUGUUAAAACUUGCUUC